CGAAAAUGUUAUGCGCACACACAAAAUCAGACACCAAAUGACCAAAUGAAUUAUUAUGUAUUCCUUGCUAUUUCAGGCCCUUCUUUUUAAUUUUCCAACCAUGCCAUCUGGCCAAGCCAGUUUCCUAUUCAGAGGAAAGAAAAGGAGGAAGAUGUCACUGGCACUAUAUUUAUGGUGGAGCUUGUUAAUGCUUUUGGAGAGGUUUCCAUGUGAAUCAUGUGGAUGAAGUUGUCUGCUUUCAGGAAAUAAAAUCAUAUGGAUUAUUUGAUUCCGUAAGUGAUGAGUCUUUUUCUGUCUUUUGGUGGAUCAACUUUCUCCAUUAGUGUCACGUCAGUAGAAGGAAAGUGAGAAUUAAAUUCUAUCACUAUUAUAUUUUUAAUAUUUUAGGAUUAAACACGAUUUUAAUCUCUAAAAUAUAGGUUGAAAUUUUAUUAGUUAUCAAUUUUUUUUAACAUUUGAAUUCAUUUCUAAGAUUAAAUUUGAUUUUAAAAUCAUCAUUUUAGACAAAAAUACCUUUUUUCUCUAAUUUUUUCCUAUCAUUCCAAUUAAUCAUCUUUUCCAUUUACUACAAAUUUCCCGUCUUAAACCAUGGACGAAAAAGGGUAACAACCAUAACAGAAAAGGUGGACAAAAACGGAGCGAAUAGACGAGCAGAGAUGUGGCCGAAAAAAAAAGCAGAGAGGUGAGGACAAGCGGGCAGCAAUGAUGCGGGUGCGCAGAGACGCUAACGGCAACGACGUGGACAGGAAGAUACACUGGAGCCAACGACGUGGGCAGGCAGAUAUACGGGUGACGGUGGUCUAAAUCGUUUUCUUCUCGUCGUGUUGCCUCUAGCAGUGUUCACGGUGGUGGUCUGAAUUGUCCUCUUCUUGUUGUUAUUUGUUGCUGGUUCUUCUUCUUCAGUUAAUUAUUGUUCUUGUUAUUGCUUAUUCUUCUUCUUCAGUCUAUGAUAGUAUUUUGUUGUUCUUAUUGUUGCUAAUUCUUCUUCUUCUUCUUG